rnacentral:lncRNA from 1 species
GGCGGGGAAGAGAGGUAGCAGAAGGAGAGGAAGGGGGAAGCAGUUAUUUGAGAUUUGCAGUUUUAAAAAUCCUGUAAGAAUGGCCUUGCUUGCUAUGUGGUUUUGAAAAAAAUUUGACAGCAACUUAAAGCUUACAUCAGGGGAGCCAGGCCCAUCUAUAAAAUGGGUAAGAUCUGUUAAAAAUAAAUUUCCCCUACCAUGCAGGGUGCUGGGGCUCCAAACGACAGCCCGCCCGAGAGAUCUGGCCUCGCGAAUUCCGAAGGAGAGAAUUAAAUGGAGAAGGAGGCGGGGAGGAGGGAGGUGAGGGUGAGUGGGGAGGAGAUAAACCCUCUCCAACACACCCAAAUGACCAGAUUCAUCACGGCACGAAACUUCACAAGUUACACCCACUCCCUCUGCCAGAAGCCGAGGGAAGCCUGCUGCUUCCGCAUUUCGGUUACUGGAAGUUUGGGAGAUGUGAAGCAAGACAGAAGCACGCGCGCCUCGCGGUCGGACCACUGUUGACCGAGGCCCACCUUUCGAGAGCCUAGAGCCAGGAGAAGGAGGAGGUUGGUUGGUCCCACAGGGGGUGGCAUCUGAAUCCGAGUGACUCGCCUAGGAUGUGAGCAGCCCCUGCGGAUGGAUGACAUGUUUGGAGAUUUUGCGAAAGCCUUUUCUGUUUGGGAUGGGGUAAGUAAUGGCAUUUGUGGCGGGCUGGAGAAUUUAAGCUUUUCAGGUCCUGAUUUGU